AACUGCUUCAAAUGUCUGUUUUGUUGGCAAUUGAUAGCUUGAGCCGAUCUCUACACAAAAGUUGUGCGUGCUCGUGACAGCUCGUCACCCUAUCUCCGCUCACAGGACACGCCUCCAGGCACUCUUCUGUUUUUGGAAAUACUCGGUACAGCAUAUGUAUCUUUUAUAAAUAUGAUAAAACUAAAGACUUUUUGGAGAUAUGAAGGAUGCACUACUACUCUAUAGGUACUCAAGAUUAACAUGAGAUUGGCAGAAACUGUGUGUGAUACCCCCCCCCCCCCCCUUUAAAAAGUCUUACCAACCCCAAACGUGAAAAUUUUUUUCAAUAAAUUUAAAAUAUAUAGUUCUGAUACUUAUAAUGAAUAUGAAUAUAAAUCAAGUUUUAUUUUGUACCACUGUUUUUGAUCAAUUAUGUCAUUCUCAAUGUUUCAUGGGAUGAGUUAUUUAUAAUUCUCAAAAAAGAAUAUAUACUUUUGUCUUUUUUACUGAAAUAAAAAAAAAAGUCAAGCUCUUUAUUGUUUUCACUUGACAUUUUGAUAUGAAGUAUAUGAAAAUCAAUCAAUUAAUCAAUUAAAUUCCCCCUGUAGUAAAUAAUUUUAUCCCUUUAAACUCGACAUACAUACAUACAUAUUUGAACGUUUUUUCCUGUGAAAAAAAAAAAUCUUAAUGCCUUAAAAUAGCUAGAAUGUAACUCUACACCCUUGCUUCAUUUAGUAUACGUGGAUCUAUGAAUAUGCUAAUUAGCCCCGCCUCCACUCACUCGCACGAGCUCAGAGAUCCACUCGGUCAACUUACUGAGGUAAACGCUGCACAAUGGUAUCGCUCUUUACAACGUCGGACACAUAACGCAGACUGUGGCGAGUGUGUAAUCCUGACAACUGAAGCCCCAUGCGUUUCCAUUGAAAUGCUGCACAGGUAUCAGAAGCCUGAAGCGCACACAUGGCCAGUACACCAGAGAUAUAGCGCCGUUAUAUCUCCCCUCCCAGCCCCCUUUCUCAUUUCUCAUAACUUUUUCUUGCUUCUCUGGAACCCGUGACACACAGAAAGAGAGAAAAAGAGAGAAGCAGUGAGAGAUAAGCAGUGGGCCGUGACUUCCACUGAAUUUCUCUGUAAGUGUUGGCUGGGCUGUUGAGUGAGUAGCAGAGGUGCCUGGAUGUAAACAGUGUGCGUGUGUCGCUUUGGCUUUGUUACCGUAGACACGACUUAUGUUUACAUGCUGGUUCGGUUACGCAGAAUCUUUAUUGGUUAUGAGCCAAUAAAAGGGCGAGAGGUCACGUAGUGCAGUGUUGAUAUUUUAUACACAGACAAUAGAAACGUGCAGCAAACAUGAUUAAUGAACUAAAAUAGUGCGUGUUACUAAUUAGAGACUUGAGGGUUGUUUCUAUUUUCUGAAUAUUGCUACAAUGUAUAAUGUUUUAUCAAAAUAUAUCUUUAAAAAAAGUUAGAUUUUAACUUGACGGUUGUGUUUCACACAUUUAAAGAAUUUUUAAAUUGCAAUACAAUAUACUUAAAAUAUUUAAUUUAAAGAAUUUAUCAAUGACAAUGUAUUUGUAUGUUACAUUUUGUUGUUUUAUUCAUUGUUUUGUCUUUCAUUAUUGUUUUAUUAUUUAAAUUUAAAGUUUAUCUCAUCCAGUGUAGUGUUACCCAUUUAAUGCACACUAUUGGGGUAUGUUGUCACAAAAUGUCUGUUUCUGUUAAUGUCUGUAUUAUAUAAACAUUAUUAUUAUUAUUAUUAUUAUUAUUAUUAUAUUAUUUAUACAUUUUAAUAAUUUUAAUACAAUUACUAUUCAUUACUAAA